UAGGGAAUCUUCCGCAAUGGACGAGAGUCUGACGGAGCAACGCCGCGUGAGUGAUGAAGGCUUUCGGGUCGUAAAACUCUGUUGUUAGGGAAGAACAAGUGCUAGUUGAAUAAGCUGGCACCUUGACGGUACCUAACCAGAAAGCCACGGCUAACUACGUGCCAGCAGCCGCGGUAAUACGUAGGUGGCAAGCGUUAUCCGGAAUUAUUGGGCGUAAAGCGCGCGCAGGUGGUUUCUUAAGUCUGAUGUGAAAGCCCACGGCUCAACCGUGGAGGGUCAUUGGAAACUGGGAGACUUGAGUGCAGAAGAGGAAAGUGGAAUUCCAUGUGUAGCGGUGAAAUGCGUAGAGAUUUGGAGGAACACCAGUGGCGAAGGCGACUUUCUGGUCUGUAACUGACACUGAGGCGCGAAAGCGUGGGGAGCGAACAGGAUUAGAUACCCUGGUAGUCCACGCCGUAAACGAUGAGUGCUAAGUGUUAGAGGGUUUCCGCCCUUUAGUGCUGAAGUUAACGCAUUAAGCACUCCGCCUGGGGAGUACGGCCGCAAGGCUG
rnacentral:rRNA from 1 species